CGUCCCCAGGUGGACUCGAACCACCAACCUUUCGGUUAACAGUUGAACGCGCUAGCCGAUUGGGCCACGGAGAC
rnacentral:tRNA from 1 species